UGAGAACUUUAUCCAAACAGAG
rnacentral:miRNA from 1 species